CCGAAUAGCCAAAGUUGAGGAUGAUUACCAUGAGAUGAUGGAGCUGAAGAAACGAGCAGAGGCAGCUGAUGUUGCUAAAUCACAGUUCCUUGCUACUGUGUCCCAUGAGAUCAGAACCCCAAUGAAUGGUGUUCUUGGAAUGUUGCAGAUGCUAAUGGACACAGAUCUGGAUGUAACUUAACAAGACUAUUCAGAACUGCACAGGGCAGUGAAAGAGCGUUGGUUUCACUAAUAAAUGAGCUUUUGGACCGAGCAAAGAUUGAAUCUGGUAAGCUCGAGCUUGAGAUUUAAAGAGAUAUCUAAAGAUCAAAUCCAUCAAGCUGAUUCACAAUUUCAAGCAUAGUGCAUUGAUUGGUUUCACACCUAUGAUUGAUUUUUGUUCAUUUGGACUAGAAUAU